ACACAAAUCACAUUUUCCAUUAAUCUAGUUAUCUUUAUUUCACUUUACAGAUUUUGUGUAACAAUAAGAGGUUGGCUUUAAUUUUGGCGCUUCCCCAUUAUAUAACACAUGACUCGUAACUUGGUUACAAUGUAACAACCUGAUAACAGCGUUGACUUGAUUCGUAUGGAAACAAGUGAUUUCAAUGGAUUUGAAUUGUAAUUGAAUAAGACUGACCGUGUUUAAAGUGUCCCAAUGAUACCCACGCUGAUCGCCAACGCAUUUGUGCCAAUACUCAAGGUAAGUAAAAAUGAAACUGCAAUUUCUCUAACCAUUGGUUCUGUUGUUUUUUUUGUUAUUUUUUCAGACUGAUUAUAAUGAGGAUGGUGAGAAAUGAUGAUCAAUCCUUCUCUCAGAUGCAGAGUGAUAUAUUAAAUGGAAAGUGAAACAACAACAGUUUUUCAUCCACGCAUUGGAUGAAAACCAACUGAAGACGUUUAAGCACCCACGAUUGGUUGUGAUCAACAGAACCUCAGGAUGACCCUACCUCAGGGUCUUUUUACCCUCAAACCACUCCACCACCACCACCACCAUCAUUAUCAUCAGAACUUUUAACUCUAUAUUCAAUUCUCCAUCAGAAUAAGUAAAUGUAACAUGAAAAUCAAAAGGCUGAUUGGCUUUCGCAUUCAAACAAGAUGAAGGUGGUGAUAGAUUCAACUAUUUUCAUAACAUUUUGCGAAUUGGAUUAAACAAAAUCAACAAACCUGACGAAAUUUAAAUGAUUGAUUAGAUGCAGAUACUUAAUUUACCUAGAAUUAAUAAGAAAGGUGUUAAGGAUGUUUUGUUUUAGCAACAAAAAAAGUUUUCCCUGUGGUAAUUAAAUAGUUAAUCAUUAACUUGCCAAUUGCAGUUGACAAUAAAACCAGUUAUGAUGGUAAAACCAGUUCAACGUUAAACCUCAACCUUAGACCUCAACAAAAAGUCAAAGCCAAGCAACAUUUUCUGGUAAAAAGAUGACAAUUAUCAACUUUACAUGAAACUGAUUAUAAUUGUUCAAUGAUUAAUAAAUGACAAGUAAUCAUUAUCAGAAACAGGUUUAACAACAAUUUGUUGAUGAAAUUAGUAAGCAAAGGUAAAAAGACUAUAAAAUGGACUUGGAUUCAGUUUAUUUGCAUCGAUUAUUGGUAAUUAAAUUGUUUUUAUGGUUCCAUUUGGAUUUAUUGGGAAUAAUAAUGAACCAGAUAAUCUUGAAAUUUAUUGUGAUAAAUUCAAUGUCAAUGAAUGCUGAUUAAAUGGAGAGAAUAGGUUCAAUUCCAGUUUCAAAUGUUGAGCCAAUGAAAUUGCCAAUGGAAUUAUCUUGAUGAAAUUUGUCAAAAUUGGAUUCAACAAUCGGCUAAUUAACGUUGAAAUGGUCAAAAUCAAUUGAUUCCCAAACUGCUACAAGCAAGAUGUUUACAAAGUUGAUUAAUAGCAAUUGGAUUGUCAAUAAAUCGUGAUUUGAAAUUUAAGCUGUUAAACAUUUAAAGAUGACACACAAUAGGAUCUCCCAGACAAUUAACUGAUGUGUUUAUAAUUAAUGAAGGACAAUUAGCUGUUAAAAUGAGCAAUAAAUAUUUCAAGAGGGAGAUGGACAACAACAAGAUGAACAACAAUUUAACCAGUAGCUGGAAUCAUUGAAAGCGCUUUGUUAAUUGUGAAGGAAUGGUUACUGUUGAAAGUGAGAAUCACGAAAAAGCAAUUACAAUGUAAUCAUGAUUAUUAGAUGAUCACUAAAGAUACCCAAUUUGACAAGGAGCAACAAUGAUGCCAAUGAUUAGUAAAAUGAUGAUACGGACGAUGGGGAGAGAUGAAAGGAAAGAGUAACAAGAAGGUUAAAUAAGCCAUGUUCAACAAGUGUUGAUGUAAUAUUGAGAAGGCGAUGAAAACGUGAAUCAUGUAUCGUGACUGAGAGAGAUUCUGAUCACUAUCAACAGAAUCAUUAUCAUUAACAUCAACAGCAACCAUCAACAGUUAUCAACAUGAUACAGCGAGACAAUUAAUAUAAACAACAGUUGACAAUUGAAGAUUCACUGGACUUGGAGACUCAACAUUUUCACUCAUUAAAAUCAUCAAUUAUCAAUUGAAUUAAUCUAUAAAUGAUAAACUAUUGCUUUUAUUAAGGUAAACAUUCAACCAAUCAUUUCAAGUGUUUCCAUCCAUAGCUUCGGGUAACAUUCACAUCAUGUUAAGGUGAACCGUUUAUAUGAUGAAAAGUAUAGUUCGGAUCACAAUUGAAGUUAAUAAAUUUAACUGGAAUUAUCAUAAUAAUAUUAAUUGAAGGUGCUCACAAUCUUCAUCCUAAGGUCCUCUUUACAGGUAAAAAACAUGAAUAUUUGUAUAAAAAUGAUAAUCAUUUCUUUUUUUUUCUUGUGAUUCUUGUAAUGCAAAAGCUAUUAAUAUGAUUGAUUAUCUUGUCUUGCCAGUCUCUUAAGCCAAUGGUUGUCAAAAUGUUACAGUUAAAGUUAAUAAAAAUAUUGGUAAUAAUAAUCAUCAGGAUAAU